rnacentral:rRNA from 1 species
AUUGAACGCUGGCGGCAGGCCUAACACAUGCAAGUCGAACGAGUGGCGGACGGGUGAGUCAUGUCUGGGACACUGCCCGAUGGAGGGGGAAAACUACUGGAAACGGAAGCUAAUACCGCAUAACAGCGGAUGUGCCCAGAUUGGAUUAGCGAGUAGGUGGGGUAAAGGCUCACCUAGGCGACGAUCCCUAGCUGGUCGGAGAGGAUGACCAGCCACACUGGAACUGAGACACGGUCCAGACUCCUACGGGAGGCAGCAGUGGGGAAUAUGGCACAAUGGGCGCAAGCCUGAUGCAGCCAUGCCGCGUGUGUGAAGAAGGCCUUCGGGUUGUAAAGCACUUUCAGCGGGGAGGCGUUACUCGCAGAAGAAGCACCGGCUAACUCCGUGCCAGCAGCCGCGGUAAUAC